AUAAUUCCCAUGUGUCCUCGAGAGCGCUUUUCUCAUUAUAAGAAAUUGUCCAGGCUUGUCCUUUGCUACAAAAAGGAUUGGGCCACCUUGUUGCACUUUAUUUACUUUCAUUGCUUGUUAGCCGUUACAAAUUAUCUUGUCGCAAAACUAUCCGUUACCUACAAUUUCAGUGCUUGCAGAGAAUACCUUACUGAAAACCGCUUGUCAUUUCCUUCUGCUCCGCGUUGGGUUAGACACUCUUACUUAUCGAAAGGACUACGAUAGAUCCCCUAUACUUGUGGGUCAUCAGAGAGCAAGGGUCGAAGAGACAGAGGAGGAUCCUGACCCGAAAAUUAAGAAUCUAGACGAACUAAUCGCAGCAGCAAACCAAGGAAAUGAUGUAACCAAUGAUACUGAAUUGCAUGAACAGAUGCCAAUUCAGGCCAAAUCAGCAGAUGGUAGACGAUGGAUUUAUGGCCCUGAUUCAGGGCUGAACACAGAGGUUCCCUCAUAUGACCUCGGAAUAGACAACGAUGAACCAGUCCUGUCGUCGGGCAGGGAAUUGACAAUUGUGGCUACAAAACAACACCCGGUUCACAUUCAGCAUGACAUUACCCAGGCUGGUCCAAGCAGAUUCAAAUUACUGGUCCAAGCAGAUUCAAAUUAGAUUUCACAGGUUUUUAGGAGCAAAGACCUGAUGGAUGAUUUCAGCGAAGCGGUGACACUAGAAGGUAAAAAAACUGUCCCAUGAGAUGUAUGACACCUCACCAUUCAACUUUCGGGUCAACACCUGCAUCAACAGAUGAAAAAAAUGAACCCCAAGGUGAUAGAACAUGUGAUUAAUAAUACUAAGACCAUAGCUAAUGCUCUGACUUUGGUUCUGAUAAUGUUUGGAAAAUGUGCAUUGCAGGGACAGGGCUCGACAUAAUUUGCACCCCCGUGCACAAGGUGAUAGAGCCGAAUAAGGCGGUGGGAACAACACCUGUUAGCCUGAACAAAGAGAUCGCGGCACAUGAGCUAGACAUGCGUGAGGAGUCGGAGGAGGCAGCAAUCAACCUGAACGUUACUCAGACACAAGAUGGGCUCACUACACAGCCACAGCGAAAAAGAACAGUUAAGCCAGGCAAGGCUGCACGGUCCCCUUUCGUUCUAGGAUAUGAUCCUCCUGUAAGAGCACCAGCUAACAUUGAAAAUGUCUUCAAGAUGUUUAUGAAAGAGCCUGCGGCUGCAAGGAAAGAGUAUGUGGUAUUUAUGCCACAUCCACCAAGAUGUCGAUAAUUUUUAAUCUCCCUCUGGGAUGCUUGUCAUGCAUGAUUCUUACUUUAUUAUGCGUGCUUACAUUUGCAGCAAUUGGGUUAUUAGCACCCAGCCAAAAAUAUAUCAAGCUCACAGCCGAGCAAAUCAGGGCGAACCUUUCGCAAGGGGGUGUGAUAGAGAAUGAUUUGAUGACAGUAGCAGUUAGAAGAUACCAGCAAAUUGACUAUAUUUUUGCAUUGGAUAAAGAUGAAGGGUGCUGGCGACAUUGGCUUGAGCCAGACUUUGUGGUGAGCACAACAAUUCAUGUAGAUACACCGUGUUUUUUCAUGCUCAAGCAACACAUCGUUUUUGUUAGAUAUUUGUUUAACAGAACCAUGUGAUCGUGAGGUAUGUCCAGGACAUGUUCAUCGGGGAACAUAUCAAGUAUGACGUGCACAGAUGCACAGAGGUAUUUCCUGAGAAAAAUAAAUUGUGAUAGCAUGACUGGUUCUUAUAUAUAGGAUGGAUAAUUUAUACUGAAUGCACAUACAUGUUUUAUUUGUUCUACAGUUCUUACUACCUGUCAAGUUCAACUUCGCAUGGUCGACCUACAUUUGGGAUUUUGUAAAGAGGAGGAUAAUCGUUCUUGACCCAACAAUGAACAACGGAGACGAGUCUGACAAAGUCAUCCAGAGUAGGCACAGAAAGGUUGCGAAAAGUCUUCAUGAAGCAUUGCAAGGGUGCAUUAAAGCAUUUUUUCAAGGCUGGGCUCCUGACAUGAUGAGAUGGAAUACAGUGUUCCCAAAGGGGAUAAAUGUUGGUCUAUGCAGCUGGUAAUUUUGUUGGCACAAAACUUAUUACAGUGACUUGCAUGCAUGUGUUUACAUUUUAUCCAACUUUGUGCAGGCCAAACAGUGGGGUAUAUGCACUGCACUACGGCCGAAACUGGAUGGGAAGCAAAUUCAAGAGGGACCUGAACCCGGUUCGUAGGCAACUGAUACAAACUGCUAUACUAUAUAUUGCUUAAAACAUGUGACUAUGAACUGAUAUUUCAUUUUUUUCGAAACUAUCCAAUAAAACGAUGGAGGGCUCCAUUCCAGGAUGAACAUACUGGUAGAUCUAUUUGUGUUGGAGGGGAACAUUGGACUCUUGACUGAGAGAUACAGGAAAUGCCUUGUCAGGAACAAGGAGGCUGCAUGAUGAUUAUUGCUCUAUAAGACUAUCUGAGAUUAUUUGGUCGAGAAUCGAAGCUGUAGUUUGAACUUUUAUAUGUACGAGACAAAUUAAUCUGCAAGCUUUAUGCUUUUGGGGAGUCGAACAUACUUUAUAUUAGCGGAGUGUACGAAUUUCUUAAGUCAAGCAUGAACCAUUUAGUAAGAGAACCUAUUGCUUAUAUAUGUUUGAAGACAAUGGCCACAUUUACCUUGUUGUCGGAUGUUUCAGAACCCAGCAUGAUAGACCGUCAUCUGAACCCAUAUAUAAGACUAACUUUGGCUUGCAGACCCAAGAAUGUCUCCACAUGAACUCUGUAUACAGUCCUUGCUCUUUGCAAGUGUGUUCGUCUGAAUGAUUGAGGCAAAAAUGAUGAAUUUUUUGCUGCAACAAAUUAAUAAUGCUUAGUGGUAGCACACUGAUAUCCAAACUAUGACCACAUAUCCGAAGUAUAACAUCUUAGCUCGCGCAUGCGAGAACAAGAUUGAGAAAUAGGAAGUGGUUUGCAUGAAAACAAUUAAAGGAAUUGCUCCAAAAACAGAGCAGUCGGAGGUGUAUAAAUUAUCUCCCUGAACUUCAGCUAAAACAGGGCGACAGAAGACGAUACGGGAACCACGGCUUGUCAGGCGCUCGCCGUCAUCGCCACGUAGAUGGCCGCGCGCUCCGCCCCCAAUUGUUUUAGCAUAACUCAGCGGGGAUUUUGGGACUACAAGAUGGAAUCUGAAUCAAUAUGGACAUGUGGAUUUCAUAUCGAAUAAGGAUCCGACAACUUGUGUUGUUUUUCUUACCUAUAUGAUUUGCCGGGUCGACUUUCCCCGGAUUCAAUCUUCCCCGCCACUGUCGGCAUAGCCUCUGAAUCUACGGCGUAGCAUCGGCGGCAUGGCGGAUGAGGAUCCGAGGUUGGAGGAGAUGGAUACAAGGGAGGAAGCGGUGGAGGUGUGAGGAUAAAGACUGGGCGGUAUGCCCCUAUGCACUUCACUGUACUUCUCUACAGAACUUUUAUGGCCAACCUGCCAGAAAAAAAUUGUCUGGGGCUACAAUUUAAUUAACAACCAGGCAAUACUCAUGCGAGAUAGUAAUUAGUCGGCAGCCUCUAAGCACAUCCAUAUAAUGCUUUCCUAUUAUGCUGGCAUGGGUAUUACA
rnacentral:lncRNA from 1 species